rnacentral:rRNA from 1 species
CCUACGGGCGGCAGCAGUGAGGAAUAUUGGUCAAUGGGCUUACGCCUGAACCAGCCAAGUCGCGUGAGGGAAGACUGCCCUAUGGGUUGUAAACCUCUUUUGUCAGGGAGCAAUUGGCGCUACGUGUAGCGUUAUCGAGAGUACCUGAAGAAAAAGCAUCGGCUAACUCCGUGCCAGCAGCCGCGGUAAUACGGAGGAUGCGAGCGUUAUCCGGAUUUAUUGGGUUUAAAGGGUGCGUAGGCGGAAUGCCAAGUCAGCGGUAAAAUCGCGGGGCUCAACCUCGCUCCGCCGUUGAAACUGGCGUGCUUGAGUGGGCGAGAAGUAUGCGGAAUGCGUGGUGUAGCGGUGAAAUGCAGAGAUAUCACGCAGAACUCCGAUUGCGAAGGCAGCAUACCGGCGCCCAACUGACGCUGAAGCACGAAAGCGUGGGUAUCGAACAGGAUUAGAUACCCUUGUAGUC